rnacentral:rRNA from 1 species
UAGGGAAUCUUCGGCAAUGGACGAAAGUCUGACCGAGCAACGCCGCGUGAGUGAAGAAGGUUUUCGGAUCGUAAAACUCUGUUGUUAGAGAAGAACAAGGACGUUAGUAACUGAACGUCCCCUGACGGUAUCUAACCAGAAAGCCACGGCUAACUACGUGCCAGCAGCCGCGGUAAUACGUAGGUGGCAAGCGUUGUCCGGAUUUAUUGGGCGUAAAGCGAGCGCAGGCGGUUUCUUAAGUCUGAUGUGAAAGCCCCCGGCUCAACCGGGGAAGGUCAUUGGAAACUGGGAGACUUGGGUGCAGAAGAGGAGAGUGGAAUUCCAUGUGUAGCGGUGAAAUGCGUAGAUAUAUGGAGGAACACCAGUGGCGACGGCGGCUCUCUGGUCUGUAACUGACGCUGAGGCUCGAAAGAGUGGGGAGCAAACAGG